CAAAACUUGGAGGCAGAAGGGAGUGUGGCUUGAGGAACUGAAACAGAAAGACACAAAGCCGAAGAGUCGUUGGAGACAGAAAGGUAGAAAGUGGAACCAGUCAUUACAGAGAAUCCAGGACAGUGUUAUCCACACCAUCACUACCUGCUGGGGAACUGCUGAACGCAGGGAUUCUCAGCAUGCAUGUCAACGUGAUGGUUCCUGAAAAGGCAUUGCCUGCUUUUCAGCUCUGAGCAUGAUCAUUUCCUGCCAGACCUCAUGUAAGAGGGAGGUCAUCCUGAAAUUCCUAUUCUUGCUUCUACCAUUAAUUGAAGUAGACAAGAUUGAGGUAUCCUUGGUGCUGUCCCUCCCGACCCCCGGACUUUCACAGUGAGUGCUCACACAUCCAGUUUGCUCAUCAGGGUUCUCCCGUUCCUGGCGGAUCUGUAGCUUCUGGAUUCCUGCUCCUGUGUUCCGAGACUGUGACUAAGGUCCACACAAAUCACCACCUAAGUAACCCUGGACCAACACCAAAUACUUCUUUCCAAGUCAAGCUGGGGGCACACUACCAGAUAGUCCCAGAGGAAACUUAGUUCUCUGUGUGUUUUCAUUUCAAAAUAAA